rfam:Gossypium arboreum cultivar AKA8401 contig_104968_1, whole genome shotgun sequence.
AAUAGUUUUAUGCCACAUCAAUACUCUUAUACUGAAUUUCAGGAUUUUAUCUUGAAAAAAAUCAAAUCCAAAUUAAAAUACUGAAAUUCAGGAUAAAAUCCUGAAAUUCAGGAUAAGAAUACUGAUGUGGCAUAAAACUAUU